GUGCGAAGGUAGCAUAAUCACUUGUUCUUUAAAUGAGGACUUGUAUCAACGGCACUACGAGGGCUAUACUGUCUCCUUUUUCUAAUCAGUGAAACUGAUCUCCCCGUGAAGAAGCGGGGAUCAAAAUAUAAGACGAGAAGACCCCAUGGAGCUUUAAACUCAUCACGCACCUCUGUGCCCCCAUAUCCUUAAACACAAGAGAUCUGCGUGCUAGUUUUAGGUUGGGGGGACCACGGAGUAUAACUUAACCUCCAUAACAAAUGGGCUAACACCCUUAUCCAUGAGACACAGCUCUAAGAAUUACCAAACUAAUGCUUAUGACCCGAUAUUCGAUCAAUGAACCAAGUUACCCUGGGGAUAACAGCGCAAUCUACUUCAAGAGCCCAUAUCGACAAGUAGGUUUACGACCUCGAUGUUGGAUCAGGGUAU
rnacentral:rRNA from 1 species